GGUUUCGUGGUGUAGUGGUUAGCACUCCAGACUUUGAAUCUGGCGACCUGGGUNCAGACUUUGAAUCUGGCGACCUGGGUUCNAAUCCCGGCGAGACCU
rnacentral:tRNA from 1 species